rnacentral:tRNA from 1 species
GUUUAAAUAGCUUAUAAAAACAGAGCAUGACAUUGAAGAUGUUAGGGAAGAGGUUUCUCUCUUAUAAACA